rnacentral:lncRNA from 1 species
AAAAAAAAAAAAAAAAAAAAAAAAAAAUUGGUGGAAGGGGAAUGUAAAAGGAGGAAAAUACACGGAAGAGAAUUGCUGUCCUGGCUGAGUCCAGAGAGAUAACUGAGGGUCCCAGACAAGGAUCAAGAGAACGGGAUUGGCCUCCAGAGGCAGAGGUUCCAAAUGGGAGUGGGCUUCCUCCUAGAAAGACUUUCUGGAGGAGACCCCCCUACUGUGUAACAGAGGAGGACUUUGGGAUUAAGAAAAGCAUUCCAGGAAGCCGACAGUGUCAGCAAACGUGGAGAGGGGUGUCAACCAGGAACCUUGUGAUGCGUGAGGAAAAAAUAUUACCUUUUCCCCCUACUCUUUCUGGCACCCAACAAACAAGUGGGGUGGCAAAGACACCCCACUUGGGACAACUGGCAAAAGGCUGGAGUGCAGUGGCAUGGUGGCAUGAUCUUGGCUCACUGCAACUGCUGCAUCCUGGGCUCAACUGAUUCUUCUGCCUCAGCCUCCUGAGUAGCUGGGACUACAGGCACA